rnacentral:misc_RNA from 1 species
UAUUUCCAAUGAUGUACGCUUGCUGUGCCUGUUCGGAGAUAUAAAAAAAUUUAAUCUAUUAAAUUCUUAAUUUAGUAACACCAUCACAUCACUUGACCAUUAAAUAGUUUGAAGGUUGGGAUUGGGAGCAGACUCACAUGUAUGGUUCAGAUCGGCAGUCAGCACAAAUGCUAGUGCAAAUUUGCGCAUGUGACCUAAUUGGAAAUGACUACAGCAGUGGCAAAUAUCAUGAAGAGCAUGCUUAUCAGCUUAAUACAUGCUCAUCGAGCAUGUUUUAGACUGAUAGCUUGCCUGCCAUGCAGUAAUGCAGCUUGUUCUAAAUUCAGUUAUUUACCAUUC